rnacentral:snoRNA from 1 species
AACCUGUGAUGAUGAGAUUCUGCCAAAUGAUUUCUAUGAUUAUACCCCCAUUUCUAUGAUGAGUUUGUGGUU